rnacentral:rRNA from 1 species
GUCAGCUCGUGUCGUGAGAUGUUGGGUUAAGUCCCGCAACGAGCGCAACCCCUGUGAACUGUUGCCACCGAGCCGUGAGGCUCGAGCACUCUGUUCAGACUGCCCCGCACUAACGGGGAGGAAGGUGGGGACGACGUCAAGUCAGUAUGGCCCUUACGGCCUGGGCUGCACACGUACUACAAUGCCCAGCACAGAACGAUCCAAGACCGCGAGGUGGAGGAAAUCACUAAAACUGGGCCCAGUUCAGAUUGAAGUCUGCAACUCGACUUCAUGAAGCCGGAAUCGCUAGUAAUGGCGUAUCAGCUACGACGCCGUGAAUACGUUCCCGGGCCUUGUACACACCGCCCGUCACAUCAUGGGAGUCGCUUGUAGCCGAAGUCGGCGCGCUAACUAGCAAUAGAGGCAGCCGCCU